rnacentral:rRNA from 1 species
GAUGAACGCUGGCGGCGUGCCUAAUACAUGCAAGUCGAGCGAACAGACGAGGAGCUUGCUCCUCUGACGUUAGCGGCGGACGGGCGAGUAACACGUGGAUAACCUACCUAUAAGACUGGGAUAACUUCGGGAAACCGGAGCUAAUACCGGAUAAUAUAUUGAACCGCAUGGUUCAAUAGUGAAUGACGGUUUUGCUGUCACUUAUAGAUGGAUCCGCGCCGCAUUAGCUAGUUGGUAAGGUAACGGCUUACCAAGGCUACGAUGCGUAGCCGACCUGAGAGGGUGAUCGGCCACACUGGAACUGAGACACGGUCCAGACUCCUACGGGAGGCAGCAGUGGGGAAUCUUCCGCAAUGGGCGAAAGCCUGACGGAGCAACGCCGCGUGGGUGAUGAAGGUCUUCGGAUCGUAAAGCUCUGUUAUUAGGGAAGAACAAAUGUGUAAGUAACUAUGCACGUCUUGACGGUACCUAAUCAGAAAGCCACGGCUAACUACGUG